GAUGAACGCUGGCGGCGUGCUUAACACAUGCAAGUCGAACGAGAAGUGAAGACGGAAACCUUCGGGCGGAAGGCUUUAUUUCGAGUGGCGGACGGGCGAGUAACGCGUGGGUAACCUGCCUCAUACAGGGGGAUAACAGUUGGAAACGACUGUUAAUACCGCAUAAGACCACAGCACCGCAUGGUGCGGGGGUAAAAACUCCGGUGGUAUGAGAUGGACCCGCGUUCGAUUAGCCAGUUGGCGGGGUAACGGCCCACCAAGGCGACGAUCGAUAGCCGAUCUGAGAGGAUGACCGGCCACAUUGGGACUGAGACACGGCCCAAACUCCUACGGGAGGCAGCAGUGGGGAAUAUUGCACAAUGGGGGAAACCCUGAUGCAGCGACGCCGCGUGAGUGAAGAAGUAUUUCGGUAUGUAAAGCUCUAUCAGCAGGGAAGAAAAUGACGGUACCUGAGUAAGAAGCCCCGGCUAACUACGUG
rnacentral:rRNA from 1 species